rnacentral:rRNA from 1 species
GAUGAACGCUGGCGGCGUGCCUAAUACAUGCAAGUCGAGCGAACAGACGAGGAGCUUGCUCCUCUGACGUUAGCGGCGGACGGGUGAGUAACACGUGGAUAACCUACCUAUAAGACUGGGAUAACUUCGGGAAACCGGAGCUAAUACCGGAGAAUAUAUUGAACCGCAUGGUUCAAUAGUGAAAGACGGUUUUGCUGUCACUUAUAGAUGGAUCCGCGCCGCAUUAGCUAGUUGGUAAGGUAACGGCUUACCAAGGCAACGAUGCGUAGCCGACCUGAGAGGGUGAUCGGCCACACUGGAACUGAGACACGGUCCAGACUCCUACGGGAGGCAGCAGUAGGGAAUAUUCCGCAAUGGGCGAAAGCCUGACGGAGCAACGCCGCGUGAGUGAUGAAGGUCUUCGGAUCGUAAAACUCUGUUAUUAGGGAAGAAAAAAUGUGUAAGUAACUAUGCACGUCUUGACGGUACCUAAUCAGAAAGCAACGGCUAACUACGUG